UCCCCGUCCGGCAGUCCCCGUCUCGUCCCACGCAGACGCCUCUCUCGCUGCCUCUUCUCUCCCUUCCGAGUCCCCGAGCUCUCGCGGCGGCGCGCAAUCCCCACCGCCGGCUCGUCCACCGAUCCUCGCGAGUCAUCAACCCCGUCCCGGCGCGGCCACCGCCCGGUCCAGGAAAAACCUUCUUGGCGAGGCCAAUCAAGUUGUGCUUGGUUGAUAACCAACGGAGCAUUGGUGUAACGGUUGGUUGACUUCGAAUCGUGCUGAUUAGAAGCUGGAUUGACAACUUCACACACUCCACCAAUCGAAUUUACCUCUACCUCUCGGAAGAUCAGGUCUAGUCCUCAUCAAGUGGUAUCAGGAUUCAGGUUUACCGUGAGGUAUAAUUUUGUGUUUCCCUUUAGAUUCAUCUUGUUCCUUUACCUACAGUCCACAAAAAGCCCCAAUUUUUUUUACACUUUUCGCUGUCCCAUAACCUGUUUUAGCCUCUGCAAUUUUCGUUUCAGUUUCGCUUAGUUGAGUUCGUGUCCGUGGCCGAGUCUUGUUGCUAGUUUAGUAUGUUCGUAGUCGUAGUCAACCGUCCGUCGCUGUUUUUGUUUCCGCCGCCGUCCUAUCCACCUUUACCCCACCAACAAGUCGAGCCCUCACGCUACUUGACUUGCCCUCGCUAGCCGCGCUUGUGUGAACUUUCGCCGCGCAAGCUCUAGAUAGGUCGCAAGCCGCCUUGUGUUUUCGCCUUGCAUCGCAGCCCUUCUUGAUUUCAUCUGGCGAUACCCUUGCUGCAUACACCAGGGACGCUUUGCCCUAGGUUGUUCGAUUGCUGAUAAGUUUUGCUCAGCCGUGGUUCUGUGUUGGAGAAUAGGGAAAUUAUGCCCUAGCCGCCGUCAUCCAAUCUGCCAAGUUGUGCUCUCUGAAAACCAUAACUUGAGGUAUCAUCGGUAAAACGGGCAUAACUUUUCGCUCGGUGCUCCGUUUUGGCUCAAUUUUUUACAGUAGAAAGGUGAUGAAAUUUUGCACAUACGAUAAAAUCGCCUUACCAUUUGGGGCCGAUAUCAGAAAUUCAAAAAAAACUUCACAAACAUCGAGUUUUGAGGGUCCGAAGUUGUUUUCGGAUUUUCAAGAAACGUUCCUGAUUUUGUGUAGGCCACAUCCCACCUCUAUUUAAGGUGAAUUUUUUUUGGUUCCAUCUCUUGUGAUCCUUGUUCAGAGAAAAAUAUAAAAAAAAUAAUUGAGAAAAUAAGAAAUCUUGAUUCCUACUAGUGCUGGAGGGAAAUCGGCAAAAAGAAUAAAAACAAUCGUGCAAGUGCUGUUUUGCUUGUUCUUUGAGCUUUAUCCAUCGUUCUUUGUUCCCACUUGUUGUGCUACGCCUAGGAACAUAUCUUAGCCAGCAAUUGUGACUUGUGACUUGGAUACUUAUUGAAUUUUGCUACACUGUUGCGUUUAUUGCUAAUCCCUUGCUACCAUAUUGUGGCUGUCCAAGCUACACAUAUUUUUCUGAUCAGCACAGGUUCAUCUUGUAACUGUUACACCCAGUUCGACAACAGAUUGUACCAUCCUGUUUGGCUUUGGUAAGAAUACUUGCAAGACGGUGGUAAGCCGUUUGAGAUUUUGCACUCCACUGUCACCACCACCCAGUACCUUUUAGUUGAUAGGGAUAAUAUUUUGGUGUAGUCUUUUGCUAUCUGCUAAUUAUGCCAGGGACAAGAGGAGAGUCACCUACGGACUUCAACGAGUGUGUGUCAAAGAAUGAACUGCAGAAACUUGUUGAUGACCAGCGCACCUACAUCGACGGGAAGUUUGAUGAGCUGAUGCGCACUAUCAACGGCCUGGUUACCAGGUUGAACAUGUUGAACAACGUCCCCCUCCACGGCGACACCGACGCCAACCUUAUGAGGAUGACGACGACGAGGAUGAGGAUGCCGACCUUGAUGCUGAUGCUCGUGCUGCGGACCGUCUUCAGCGCAAUCGUCAAGGUAUGGGAGGUAAUCAAAAUCGUGGUAACAAUGAUUCUUUUGCUAAAGCCAAAUUUACCAUGAUUCUUUUUGCUGGCACUGCUGAUCCUCAGGCUUAUUUAGAUUGGGAACUUGCUGUUGAACAAAAAUUUAAUUUUCAUUUGGUUCCUGCUGAGCAUAGAGUUAGACUUGCUACUAAUGAAUUUACUAGCUUUGCUUUGUUUUGGUGGAAUGAUAUUUGCAAUGCUGGUAAUGCUGCUUCUGUGCCUCAAACUUGGUCUGUUUUGAAACAACGCAUGAAGUCUCGUUUUGUUCCUCCUUAUUACCAGCGUGAUCUACGUUUAAAAUUACAAAAUUUAAAACAAGGUGAUAAAGGAGCAGAGGAAUAUUAUCAGGAAUUGUUUAUUGGUCUAGCACGUUGUGGUAUUCAUGAGGAUGAUGACACUAGUGCUAGGUUCUUUGGUGGUUUAAAUCAUGAUAUACAAGAUAUUCUUGAUUACAAAGAUUGGACUCGUUUUUCCCAAUUGUAUCAUCUUGCUCCUAAGGCAGAACGGGAAGUACAGGGAUGCCGCAUUGUCCAACAUUUUUUCAGGUCCAACACUGGGAGAUCGUUUCAGUAGCGUUCCGACGUUGAGAAGCCCAAGGCGCCUGUUGCUAAGCCAUCAGCAACACCACCAGCUCCUACGCCAGCUUCUGAGGUAAGCAAUGUAUCUACUGUGCAGGCCCAACAACACAAGAAGCAUGCUACGCUUGAAAAGGGGUCUUCGAGUAGAUCAUCUACAAACAUCAUGUGCCAUCGCUGCAAGGGAAUGGGACAUGUCAUGAAGGAUUGUCUAAGUGCUCGUGCUUUCAUUGCUGCACCUGAUGGUAAUGGAUAUGUAAGUGCUAGUGAUAUUGAGGAUGAUUUGGUCCUUGCAGCUAACAUUGUUGCAGAUUCGGAGGAAGAUGAGGGUGAGGCAAUUGAUUCCACAGCUGCAACGGCGGAUUUUCCUAGUGUUCUUGUGCAGCGUGUGUUGACUUCUAAAGCAGAACAUGUGGAUAAGGAGAAGCUCCAACGCAAGAAUUUGUUCCACAUGUUUCUCAUUGUGCAGGAUUGUCGUGUUCUCACCAUAAUUGAUAGCGGAAGUUGCAGCAACUUGGUGAGUUCAGAUUUAGUCAAGAAUCUUGGCUUGACUACUCGUUCUAUCCCUCACCCCUACUACCUAGAAUGGUUCAACAAUUGUGGUAAGACUAAGGUAACUAAAUCAGCACGCAUACACUUUUCUGUUGGUUCUUAUCGUGACUAUGCUGAUUUUGAUGUUGUACCUAUGCAAUCAUCAUCAUUAUUGUUAGGACGGCCAUGGAAAUUUGAUACUGAUGCUGCAAUCCAUGGUAGAACUAAUACAUAUACUCUCAUGCAUAAGGACAAAAAAUUAUUUUGCUUCCUUUAUCGCCGGCUGAUAUUAGGAAACACUUUAAAGGCCUUGCUGAAAAUGUUAGCAAUGAAUCUUUUGAUGCUAAACCAAAUGGAAUUAAAUUGAAAGAAGGAGUUUAUAUUGCUACAACAUCUGUUGCUGCUGAGCUUUGUGAUAAUCAUGAUGCACCUUGCUAUACUAUGUUUUGUCGAUAUGAAACUUUUCCAAAUGCUCAUAUGUCUUACACAAUGCAUCCUGCUGUCACUAACCUUUUGCAGGAGAUUUAUAAUGGGAUGGAGUCGAGGACGACUCCAAUUCAAGAAGGAGAGGAUGAUGAGGACAUCGCUGCAUCGGAUGCGUACACGUUGAAGUCCGACUCGUCUAAAACUUGGACUUCGUUUUCUUCUCGGAUUUCAGAAACAGUCUGCACCAAAAACAACGUCACGGCCACAUACGGAGUCCGUUUGAGGAGAAAUUUAUAUGGUUGGAAAGAUAAUUUCAUAACCUUUCCAACGCCACCAGAUUCAGGUCCAUAUCUUUUCAAAGUCAACAGAAAUUCACGAAACAAAUCGACGUCCAAAAUCUGGAAAGGUGCUGCGCCACCUCUUUUGGGCAAAUGGCCUGUGUAUCGUGUCGGGCCUUAAGCCAAAGUUGAGGGCGCCCACUUCUGGUCACCCCAACCAUAGGUCACCUGGUUCUUCUAUAAACUCAGUAGCCGCCGCCGCUUAGACUCGGGUUUUGUUUAGUUCUUGUUUUUUCCUUCGAGAAACAGAGAUUGAUUCGUUGUAACUGUGGCGACAAGUCCUUUUACAGUGAUUCAGGGCCCCCGUUCUUGAUCUCCUCCACUGUGUCGAUUAGUCCUUUGGAAUCGAGUUCUCGAACCACUCUUGUGAUUCGCUUCAUUCA